AUCUCCCAAAUGGAGAUCGGGAUUUGCAACCCGGAAUUGUUAGGGGCGACACCAGACGCGCCAGUGUCUUUUUU
rnacentral:sRNA from 1 species